CUAGCUGACCACAGAAGAAAAAACUUCACACUGCUGCUUGGACCCCUCCCCUACUCCUUCCUCCCCCUCCCUCCCGGAAAGCUUCUGUACUCAAUAAAUAUCCAUCCGAGCACACCGAGGCUCAGGCUCUAGGCUUGAGGAGGCAGACUCCUGGAGUUGACCUUGAGUGACGUCAACUGCUCCUCGGUCCUCCAGCUCUCCCUCCCCCUGCUGGGGCUGCUGACUGGGUUGCACCAUACUACCUGAGUCCAGACUCUAAUUUCAAACUCUUUUUGAGUCUCCACCGGUAAGCUCCUCCUAGCUUGGUAGGUAGAUCCCCUCGUGGCCCACGAGGCGCUUAUUGAGUCCCUGCCUCUGCCCCUGGUUCCUGAGGUCGCCCGGGAUUCCCAGAGGAGGGAACCUAUCAAGUGGGCAGUUUAUUGUCCCUAUUCUCUCCAGCAGCCCAUCCUCAUUCUUCAGUAUGGAUAAUUGACAUUUUCUCAGCCUUCAGUAAAUUGCUAUGCAAACACAGCUUCAAGCUCCUCUACUUUCCAAGCAGAUCACCAGCCCUUGACCCCUCCUAUCAAACUUUUGGAGCUGCCUCCCUAGUGACAGAGGGCUAGACUCCAUGGGCACCAGGACAUGAGGAGAGGAGAACAGGAAGGCUCUUUUCUUCAUCUCAAUCUUACUGGGCUAACACUUGUGACUUUCACUGCAGUUCACUCUGUAAUGUGUGUCUCUGGCUCUAGAAUUUCAAGUUCUACUUAGUGACUCCUAUCUGAACGUGGCUUCCCAGUGAAGCAAAGGAAGAGGUUUGAGCUUCAAAGCACAGUUGCAAGGUUCUUCUCUGAGCUGAACAAUGGCUGUAUCUGUGGACCAACAAAUCCAGGCUCCUCGAGUACAAGAAGAGCUUCGAAUAGUGAAGCUGGAAGAAGAUUCCCACUGGGAGCAGGAAAUUUCCCUUCAAGGGAGUAACCUCGGACCAGAGACCUCCUGCCAUCGCUUUUGGCAUUUCCGCUAUCAAGAGGCAUCUGGACCCCGGGAGGCCCUUAUCCAACUCCAGAUGCUCUGCCGUCAGUGGCUGAGACCAGAGAAGUGUACGAAAGAGCAGAUCUUGGAGUUGCUAGUUCUGGAACAGUUCCUGACUAUCCUUCCCCAGGAGGUCCAGGUCUGGGUUAGACAAAAGCAUCCGGAAAGUGGAGAGGAGGCAGUGGCCCUGGUGGAAGACUUGCAGAAAGAACCUGGAAGACGGGAGCUAUAGAUGAGAUACGGGAACCUACUUCUGAGUGGGUAAAAUAGAGGAAUGUGAGAGACAGAGCCACCUUGGGUUGCUGGCAGUGUGGGUAGCAAUGGUGAAGAACUCACAGCCAGAACCAGAAGAACAAUUGAGCCACAACCCCAGAGUAGAACUCUGAUCUUUCCACAAGAGUGCCCUGCCUGAUCCUCGGGCUCUGGGUCUUUCUGUGGAAGAGAGCAGUGGUGACCAGAGGACGAUGCACAGCUCCCAGGAGUUGGUGACAUUUGGUGAUAUGGCUGUGCAUGUCUCCCAGGAGGCACAGAGGCAGCCAGAACCUGGACAG